rnacentral:rRNA from 3 species
UUGACCUCGAAUCAGGUAGGAAUACCCGCUGAACUUAAGCAUAUCAAUAAGC